GCCCGCUUGGCUUAGUGGUACAGCGUCUCACUCGUACGGAUCAUGUGUGUGUGAUGAGAAGAUCCUCGGUUCGAUUCCGAGAGUGGGCA